rnacentral:piRNA from 1 species
UGUGUUUCCAGAACCUAAAAUAGUGCUU